rnacentral:rRNA from 1 species
CACAUGCAAGUCGAGGGGUAUAGUUCUUCGGAACUAGAGACCGGCGCACGGGUGCGUAACGCGUAUGCAAUCUAUCUUUCACAAAGGGAUAGCCCAGAGAAAUUUGGAUUAAUACCUUAUAGUAAUACGACUUGGCAUCAAGAUGUAUUUAAAGAUUUAUCGGUGAAAGAUGAGCAUGCGUCCCAUUAGCUAGUUGGUAAGGUAACGGCUUACCAAGGCAACGAUGGGUAGGGGUCCUGAGAGGGAGAUCCCCCACACUGGUACUGAGACACGGACCAGACUCCUACGGGAGGCAGCAGUGAGGAAUAUUGGACAAUGGGCGAAAGCCUGAUCCAGCCAUGCCGCGUGCAGGAUGACGGUCCUAUGGAUUGUAAACUGCUUUUAUACGAGAAGAAACAACUCUACGUGUAGAGUCUUGACGGUAUCGUAAGAAUAAGGAUCGGCUAACUCCGUGCCAGCAGCCGCGGUAAUACGGAGGAUCCAAGCGUUAUCCGGAAUCAUUGGGUUUAAAGGGUCCGUAGGCGGUCAGAUAAGUCAGUGGUGAAAGCCCAUCGCUCAACGGUGGAACGGCCAUUGAUACUGUCUGACUUGAAUUAUUAGGAAGUAACUAGAAUAUGUAGUGUAGCGGUGAAAUGCUUAGAGAUUACAUGGAAUACCAAUUGCGAAGGCAGGUUACUACUAAUGGAUUGACGCUGAUGGACGAAAGCGUGGGUAGCGAACAGGAUUAGAUACCCUGGUAGUCCACGCCGUAAACGAUGGAUACUAGCUGUUGGGAGCAAUCUCAGUGGCUAAGCGAAAGUGAUAAGUAUCCCACCUGGGGGAGUACGUUCGCAAGAAUGAAACUCAAAGGAAUUGACGGGGGCCCGCACAAGCGGUGGAGCAUGUGU